rnacentral:lncRNA from 10 species
GCGUGAGCCACCGCGCCAGGCCACCCGGCCAAUUUUUGUAUUUUUAGUAGAGACGGGGUUUCACCAUAUUGGCCAGGCUGGUCUCAAACUCCUGACCUCAUGAUCCGCCUGCCGCAGCCUCCCAAAAUGCUGGGAUUACAGGCGUGAGCCACCGUGCCCAGCCCAGUACAUCCUUCAAAAUGCUGCAUCAUGCCUAUGAGAUAAUUCUUUUUACUACUAAUCUUUACACUAUUUCAUACACCUUCCAUAAAAGGGGCAAGAAAACCAUGAAGAGAACCAGAAAUAAGAAAAUAUGGUCGGGUGCCAUGACUCAUGCCUGUAAUCCCAGCACUUUUGGGAGGCCAUGCAGAG